rnacentral:rRNA from 1 species
UUGCCCCUACGGGAGGCAGCAGUGGGGAAUAUUGCACAAUGGGGGAAACCCUGAUGCAGCAACGCCGCGUGAGUGAAGAAGGAUUUCGGUAUGUAAAGCUCUAUCAGCAGGGAAGAAGAUGACGGUACCUGAUUAAGAAGCACCGGCUAACUACGUGCCAGCAGACGCGGUAAUACGUAGGGGGCAAGCGUUAUCCGGAUUUACUGGGUGUAAACGGAGCGUAGACGGCAUAGCAAGUCUGCA